rnacentral:rRNA from 1 species
AGUGAACGCUGGCGGUAGGCCUAACACAUGCAAGUCGAACGGCAGCACAGUAAGAGCUUGCUCUUACGGGUGGCGAGUGGCGGACGGGUGAGGAAUACAUCGGAAUCUACUUUUUCGUGGGGGAUAACGUAGGGAAACUUACGCUAAUACCGCAUACGACCUACGGGUGAAAGCAGGGGAUCUUCGGACCUUGCGCGAUUGAAUGAGCCGAUGUCGGAUUAGCUAGUUGGCGGGGUAAAGGCCCACCAAGGCGACGAUCCGUAGCUGGUCUGAGAGGAUGAUCGGCCGCACUGGAACUUAGACACGGUCCAGACUCCUACGGGAGGCAGCAGUGGGGAAUAUUGGACAAUGGGCGCAAGCCUGAUCCAGCCAUACCGCGUGUGUGAAGAAGGCCUUCGGGUUGUAAAGCCCUUUUGUUGGGAAAGAAAAGCAUCAGGUUAAUACCCCGCUGUUCUGACGGUACCCAAAGAAUAAGCACCGGCUAACUUCGUG